rnacentral:rRNA from 1 species
UACAGGGGGUGCAAACGUUGCUCGGAAUUAUUGGGCGUAAAGAGCUCGUAGGCGGUUUGUCGCGUCGAAUGUGAAAACCCGGGGCUUAACCCCGGGUCUGCAUUCGAUACGGGCUAGCUAGAGUGUGGUAGGGGAGAUCGGAAUUCCUGGUGUAGCGGUGAAAUGCGCAGAUAUCAGGAGGAACACCGGUGGCGAAGGCGGAUCUCUGGGCCAUUACUGACGCUGAGGAGCGAAAGCGUGGGGAGCGAACAGG